GCCUGAACCAGCCAUGCCGCGUGCAGGAAGACGGCCCUACGGGUUGUAAACUGCUUUUAUACGGGAAUAAACCUCUCUACGUGUAGGGAGUUGAAUGUACUAUAAGAAUAAGGAUCGGCUAACUCCGUGCCAGCAGCCGCGGUAAUACGGAGGAUCCAAGCGUUAUCCGGAUUUAUUGGGUUUAAAGGGUGCGUAGGCGGCCUAUUAAGUCAGGGGUGAAAGACGGUAGCUUAACUAUCGCAGUGCCUUUGAUACUGAUGGGCUUGAAUGUACUUGAGGUAGGCGGAAUGUGACAAGUAGCGGUGAAAUGCAUAGAUAUGUCACAGAACACCAAUUGCGAAGGCAGCUUACUAAAGUAUGAUUGACGCUGAGGCACGAAAGCGUGGGGAUCAAACAGGAUUAGAUACCCUGGUAGUCCACGCCCUAAACGAUGAACACUCGAUGUUGGCGAUAUACGGUCAGCGUCUAAGCGAAAGCGUUAAGUGUUCCACCUGGGGAGUACGCCCGCAAGGGUGAAACUCAAAGGAAUUGACGGGGGCCUGCACAAGCGGAGGAGCAUGUGGUUUAAUUCGAUGAUACGCGAGGAACCUUACCCGGGCUUGAAAGUUAGUGAAUGAUCCAGAGACGGAUCAGUCCUUCGGGACACGAAACUAGGUGCUGCAUGGCUGUCGUCAGCUCGUGCCGUGAGGUGUUGGGUUAAGUCCCGCAACGAGCGCAACCCCUAUGUUUAGUUGCCAGCAUGUAAAGGUGGGGGACUCUAAACAGACUGCCUACGCAAGUAGAGAGGGAAGGAGGGGGACAACG
rnacentral:rRNA from 1 species